rnacentral:lncRNA from 1 species
CAUCAUAACAUAUACAUUAGUAAAUUCUUCCUUACAGGUGGAACUCAGCCUCGGGAUCUGCUGAGUGUUUCUUAAACUUCCCUAGCAUCUGAGUCAAAUCUUUCUGCAUACUGCAGGGCACCAUUGCUUCUUGAUCUCUCAUAGUUGCAGUCCAGUGAUUUCAGAGAGACUACCUUAGACUGCCCUCCACUUGGCCAUGGUAAGUUUCUCCUGGGUCUGUCAUAGGUGAUUCACAGCCUUCCUUCACCUUCAUCCUGCAAAUCAUAAGCAUGCUCUAUGCACCAAAUUUCAACUUGUUCUUCUUACUGGCACGCAUAUGCCUGAUAAUGAGUUGAACUGGGAAAGGGAGUUUUGUUUUGUUUUGUUUUUGUUUGUUUGUUUGUUUGUUUAGUGCUGGGGAUUGAAUCCAGGAUUGAAUGCAUGCUAAGCAAGCACUCUAUCACUGAGCUACAUCCCUUGAAACCAGAGAUGCGUAACCACUGAGCCACAUCCCAAGCCCUAUUUAUUUAUUUAUUUUAUUUGUUCUAAUUAGAUAUAUAUGAUAGUAGAAUGCAUUUUGAUACAUUGUAUACAAAUGGAGCACAACUUCUCAUUCCUUUGGCUGUAUAUGGUGCAGAGUCCACUGGUAGUCAUACAUAUAUAGAGAGUAAUAUGUCCAUCUCAUUUUACCUUCCUUCCUACCCCAGCACCCUCUCCCCACCCUCUCACUCCCCUCUGCCCAAUCCAAAGUUCCUUCAUUCUUCCCCACACGCCACCUCCCCCCAUUAGGGAUCAGCAUUUGCUUAUCAGAGAAAACAUUCACUCUUUGGUUUUUCUGGUUUGGCUUAUUUCACUUAGCUUGAUGUUCUCCAGCUCUGUCCAUUUACCUGAAAAUGCCAUAAUUUAAUUCUUCUUUAUGUCUGAGUAAUAGUCCAUUGUGUUCACAGUUUCUUUAUCCAUUCAUCUGUUGAAGGGCAUCUAGGUUGGUUCCACAGUUUGGCUAUUGUGAAUUGUGCUGCUAUGAAUGUUGAUAUGGCUGUGUCACUGUAAUAUGCUGAUUUUAAGUCCUUUGUGUAUACACCAAGGAUUGAGGUAGCUGGGUCAAAUGGUGGUUCCAUUCUAAGUUUUUUGAUUCUAAGGAAUCACUAAGACUUUAUUAUUAUUAUUAUUAUUAUUAUUAUAUUUUGAGACAGGGCCUCACUAAGUUACUUAGGGCCUGGCGCUAAGUUGCUGAAGCUGCCUUUCAACUUGGAAUCUUUCCACCUCAGCCUCCCAAGUCACUGGGAUUACAGGUGUAUGCCACCAAGCCCAGCUAAAAUACUUUUAAUACAAAAAAAAAAAAAAUGGAAAGAAGAAAUCAAUGAUUUAGAAAAGAGUGUCUUAAAACCUAAUAACAUUUACUUACCCAAAAGAUUUCCUGGUGGAAGACUCCGUGGUCUGAGUGCAUCCCACCCAGGUUUAAGAUCUUAACUUGACUAAGAUCUAACUGGCCCUGCAGGAUCCUGAUAAUAACAUAGAUUCAUCCCAAGACCAAGCAGAUCUCAGCACUUCAAUUGUCUAGAUAUUUCAAAGCCAUCCUUGAAACUUGAGCAGGCCCUGAACUUAUAAUAAAUGGGACCCUAAGGAGGGGUAAACUUGCUUCCCUAAAACCAAAGCAGGCAGUUCUGAAUGAAUUUUGGUAAUGAACUACCUUUUGAAAAGCAUGCAUAUUGGGUGAGAAAAUCUUUGAAAAAAUGGUAAACCCCAUGAAUCUCAGAAUGAAGGAGAAUUCCAGUCUUGCUCUGACACUCACUUAUUGAGUAACUUAAAGGGUUUUUCCUAUUGUUGUAAUCUUAGUUUGCAUGUCCUUUCAUUCAUCUUUACAAAUUUAUAGUGCAGUUAUCAUAAGCCAGACACUGUUUCUGUUCUGAGUAAAACACAUCAAAAUUUAUCCCUGGGGGUGUACACUUAUAAUCCAGCUACUCAGAAGGCUGAGGCAGGAAGAUCACAAGUUUGAGGCCAACCUCAGCAACUUAGAGAAACUGUCACAAAGAGGAAGGAUGGGUGCACUGCUUUUAGGGGAUCUGGACUGCAGCUGCCAUUGCGAGGACUAGCAAGGUUGGCUCCUGGAUCUAGUGUAGGCAUUGAACUGUGACUUGUGGCCUGAGCUCUCAAAGUUCAGAUGGAACCUUGGAAGGACAUCUGGACACAGCUGAUUUGCUCAAGUUAGCUGUUUCUGCUGUGUCUCACUGGGAGCCUGGGGCAAAGAAGUCUCCCCUUCUCCCAGAGCCUUGUCUCCUUUCCCGUUACUCCUCUACUUCUUUUUCUUCUCUUCUUCUCACUAAGAUUCCCCUGCACAUUUUCCCCUAUCUCUUCUUUUGCUUGUAUAAGCUCAUUUUCCCUUGUUCCUAAACCUUCUGCCUCCUAGGGUUCUCACCUUCAUAACCUUCCAGCUUCUAUCCUGUCCCCUCCCUGAGCUGAUAGAAUGAGAAGUAUCUGGCUGGGGUCAAAGAGAGAAAGGCUACAGGGCUAAAUGGAGAACCUAUUUUUAAAUCUGAUCUUGUGGCUGAGUAAUUCCAACUCCACCACACUUUGAGCUCAUCGGAACUGAAUGAGGGAAAGUCAUGGCUCUAUUAUUGGCCACAAAAGGAAUAGGCACAAGAACACUCACUGUACCUUUGGGGGAAGAACGUGGUAAAGGUUCUAGUCUCUCACUUUUGGCUGUUUGCUGUAUUGUCAAGGUGGUUAUUGCUGUUUUCCUUCCUAUCCCUCCAUACUUUCAGGCACCUAAGUCACCUUGAAAGUCAAAACAAGGCUUACCUUCACUUUGCACAGGUAUAUGGCAGGAAGCCUUGCUAGCUGCAGGCAAAAGUCCCAGAGUUGCAAGCUGGCUGGUCUCCUAAGUUGGCCAGAAGGUAAUUAGCCUGUGUUAUGGAAACUCAGCACUAACUAAUGGAGUUAGACAAUGCAUGCAUUUUUAAAAAAAUAGAGACAAAUAAACAAUUGACAAUAGUGAUCUUAUUCUCAGAAAGUCCUGUCUGGGUGUCAGAGCAGGGAGGGCAGGCAAAACAGAUAAAGGCAGAAGUGUCCCAGCUGAGGAAUGCAAGUGCUGGGGCAUUUCAGGAUCAGAGACAAAGGAGGCACAGCUAUUAAAGUGAAACCCUUUGGAAUUGAAACACUGCUACAUAUACUAACAAUGUAAUUCUUAUAUCGCUCCAGUAAGGGAAGUAGGAUAGGUGUAAUGUUACUUUAUAGAUAGGAAACAAGAUCAGAAAAGUCAUAUGACUUGCGCAAACCUCAUAGUAAGAGGGAAAGGCAGGGUUUCCAGCCAGGUGUGCCCUUCGUAAAUUACCAUAAUUAUCCAAAAGCUUGCCUAGCAGUAAUGUGGUAAGACAAUGAUAGUGUUGGGAACUCAGAUCUUCUUUAUUCUAGUUUAAAUGUCUUUAUUUUUACCUUAAAAUGCCUAGGUAACCAAACUGGGUAAUCAAAUUUCUUUUCCUCAGGCUCUUGUAAUGAUUCCUCUAAUCAGUGCUGCCUCUGAACAAAUACCAAUAAAAUUACAUAGAGGGAAGCUUUACAGACCAGCUCAGGGCGUGUCCUAUUACAUCCUGUCUUUUGAAACAAUAAACAUGGCACCUUAUCUGGAGAGUAGAAGAAGUGUUCUACUUUCAGCAGGGGUGGCUUUUGUCUUCAAAGGGAAAGCUCAAUAAUCUAAUCUUUAACAGAUUGAGCCAGCAUUAGUAUUAGGAGGCAGGGCUGUCCUGUGGGAACCAAGUUCAGUGCAACUUAGAGAUCAUCUGGAUUGUCCUUCCGGGGCUCUUGAACCUGCUAGAGAAUUCCACUUACUUCUGGGUGGAAUUAGUGUCUUACCAUGUCUUGUCAUUACCAUUAGUGUCUUAGCUCAUAGUAAGACAGACACUUUCUAUCUGAGCUAUAGACAAUGCUCCCUGGCUCGAGGGUUGCCAGAAAGGGGGGUCCCCAAAUUUGUCCUGAUUUCCUUAUGCUAUUUUUUUUCUUUUUUCUUUUGCAGUACUGGGGAUUAAACCCAAGGGCACUCUACCCCUAAGCUACAUUCUCAACCCUUUUUAUUUUGAGAUAGGUUGUUAAAUUUCCAAGGCUGGCCUCAAACUUGGGAUCCUCCUGCCUCAGUCUCCCAAGUUGUUGGGAUUACAGGCAUGUACCGCUGCUCCCUGCUCAUUCUGACAUUUUCUUAGAAAGCACAAAGCUCUCCAUUUACACACUCAACUCAUCCAAGCUAUUGUGAAAAUUCAAAAAAUAUUCUGAUCUCUUGGAUGGACAAUCAUUCACUUUGGAGAUCCAAUACUUUUUUGAUUUAUCUUGGUUUUGGUUUUUAAAAUAGUAAAAAAAAAAAAAAAACCUAAUAUUUACAAUUAGCCAGCUGGACUCAGUUGAGAUUACCCCAAUUUUGUUGGCAAUAUCCAAGGCAUCAAAAUAAAGAGCCAGUGAAAAUCUGCUUUCGUCUCCCCAUAGGGUCUGACCAGAGUGUUGACCUUGGCCACAUCAAUGCCAUAGAGUUUCUUCAUAGCCCAUUUGGUCUGCUGCUUGUUGACCUUGACAUACACCAUGAGCACAAGUGUGAUGUCAAUUUCCUCCUUCAAGGCUGACUCAGAGGUCAAGGAGAAUUGAUGAUGGCACAGUGGUUAAGAUUCUUUCCCCUGGGUGCUGUUCUGAGGGUAUUUGGGCUGUCUCUAGUCACAAUGUCUUAGGCCACCAGAAGGUGGAUGUCCUAUGGGUCUUCUGUGUGGCUGUGGAUAUUUUUAGCACUGCCUUCUUGGCCUUCAAAGCCUUGUCUCUCACUUUGGUGUUGGGAGCAGCAGGUGUUUCCUUCUUCACUUUUGGUACCAUCUUUGUGAAGGGCCCAAUACUGUUUUAUUUAUUUAUUUUGGUACCCGGGAUUGAAUCCAAGGGUGCUUAAACCACUGAACCAUAUCUCCAGCCCCUUUUAAAAUAUUUUAAUUAGAGACAGGGUCUCACUGAGUUGCUUAGGUCCUCACUAAAUUGCUGAGAUUGGCUGUGAACUUGUGAUCCUCCUGCCUCAGCUUCCCGAGGCACUGGGAUUACAAGCAUGUGCCACUGUGCCUGGCUUUCCAAUACUGGUGUUAACAUAAGUGAGGCUUUGUUUCUAUACGAAAUAAAAGUUAGCAGGGGGGAGCUCUCAGCCACGCAAACAAACAAGUAUUUGUAAAGACACAGCAAAAGGGCCAGCAAAAUCCUGGUUGAUUUUCUGUGCCAGUAUAAUGUGCCAAAUUACUGUUUCCUCCUAUUUCACUUAGUUUUUUUUAUUGGGUAAUAGUCUUAGCAGCAGAGAGGCCCAAGAGUAACUUGGGCCCAGAAAGGCUGAACCAUUUCUCCAAGUUUACUCAACAAAAUAGCAACUCCUGGUUUAGGAAUGACCAUGAGACUAGAGUCAGCCUCACAUGGAUGUUCCAAGUUUAGCUACAGUACCAAAGACAUCAAAAGGCCACUUUCCUGAAUUCUAUUCAUUGAGAGCAACAUUCUCUCAUUUGAAAUUGUCAAGAUCAUGAUCCUAGCUCCUAGAGCUUUUACCUCACUGUAAAAAAAAAAAAAAAAACAAUCUUAUCGCCUGGGAUUCAACACCACGUGGAGACAUGUUAGAGGGCAACAAACCAUUGCCUGUUAGCUGUGGAAAAACCUAGACUGAGCACCCCCAGAGCAGAGGGCUCAUUGAAAGUCAUGUUCACAAAGCCUAGGUCAGAGCUUGGAACACAAAUGGCCCUUGAUACUUACUGAGUCAAUGAAUGCACCUGAACAUUUGAUUUUUGCAAGAUGAGAAAGAUGGCUCCUGUUGCUUAUUUCUCUGUGCUCUGAUUGGGCCCAACAUGCUUUGAAAGGGUCAUUAAACCAACUGUGUUAGCAAAUGCCAAGCUAGUAGCUCCAGCAGAAAGGGCCCAACUCCCGGUGGUAUGGAAAACAGGUUCUUACUGCCCUCUGGUGGCCAGGAAGAUUUCGGCCGCCAAAGUCCCAUAGUGGCCCUGAGGCCUUCAACUCAAAUGCCUCCCGCCAAGAGCAUCUGCUGGCUUCAUGGACACACCCCUUCCACCACAGGAGAGUUCUUGGUCUGUGGGCUGGAAAGAGGCUAUCCAACAUCCUUGGAGGAAGCAGCUCAUUCCUUUCCUCAGAGCAGAUGAGAAAGUCCAGAAGUUAAAAGCAAACCCUUUAAAGUGAAUCAACAUCCAGAGAAUGGUUCUGUGCUCUUAAGAGGUUCUCAAAUUAAAAAAAAAAAAAUUAAAUUAAAUUUAAAAAAUCAAAGAAAAUAAUUUCCAGUCCAGAAUGUUUAGAUUUUGAAUUAUUGGGGAUUUUCAGGUCAGGUCACCCUUCUGAGCACAAAAAACCCUCAGAAGCCCUUUCCAAACUUGUAUUGCUACUGUUCCAUGAAUGUAACCCCAUGGAAGGGAAAGGGCAACUGAAAAUCCAAACCAAUUACAGAAAAAAUGAUGACUCUCCUCAUAAACCUACAGGAGGCUUCUCAGUUUUGUUUUGUUUUAGAUGUGUUCCAGAUGAACAAAAGCAACAACGAAAAACCUAAACUGCUGCAGGGUCCCCCAAGCCGACACCACUGUGCAGAUGUUGGUGUGCACCCCACAGCUGGUUCCCCAGCACCUGGAACAGUGCCAGUCACAUCAAUAUGUAUUUGGUGAAGGAAUGAAUGGGCUGAGCCUGAAGAGAAAGAGGUACUUUCUGAUAGAAAGCAUUGCAUAUUGGUACCAAAUGCAUUGUGGCAUAUCAGUCAGUCUUAGCUCGCAGAGGAUAUCAUCUCUCCCAUUAAAAACCCUUUUAACCCUGGGCAUGUGGUAGCUUACACCUGUAAUCUCAGCCACUUGGAUUACUGAGGCAGGAAAAUUUCAAGUUCAAAUUCUGCCUAGGCAACUUAGUGAGACUAUGUUUCAAAAUAGAAAAUAGAAAGGAUAGGAAUCUAGCUCAGUGGUAGAGCAUCCUAGAUUCAAUCCACAGUAUGAAAAAAACAAAAACAGUGAUGCUUUCAUAGAAUUCUCAUUGAUUUUUUUUGUUAAUUUGUUUAUUUUUUGAGAGACUGGGGAUCAAACCCAGGGCCUCACACAUGGUAGGCCAGUUUUCCACCACUGAACUACCCCCCCCCCUUUAUCUUUUAAAAAGAUCAUAGAAUUUUAGGACUAGAAGAAACCUCAUAAAUCAUCAUUGCUCUCUUUAUUUGGUUCCAUCUUUUUACUUCACAGAUGAGGAAAAUGAAGCUCAGAGAGGUUAACCAACACACUGAAAUUCACACAGCUAUUUAAUGGAAGAACCUCACGUGGAUCCAAGUCCUCACUCCGGGCACUUUCUAAUGAUGUUCAAAGUUUUUGAUGGUGGCCCACAGUGAAAAGCAUGUGACCCAACAUACACAUGUGCACACAUGCACAACUAAAAAGAAUCCCAUGAAACCACACUCACUUUCCCCAUGUAGCAUCACUCUGGCCUGCUGUGUAUUGUAUUCUAUUUUGAGUUUUUAUACUAUUCUGAUCACCUUUUACUCAAUUAGCUUCACAACUUAAGAACUUUUAAUAUCACUCCACCACAGCAUCUUGCCUAUAUACUGCACUUGUAAAAAGGCUGACAUCUUCCAAAAUCUUCUACUAACAGAACUAGUGUGAUCAAUUUCUUGAGACCUCUUGGCUCAAAGAUUUUUUAUUUUUUGACUUGAUACAAAUACUAUCUCUCACCAAGAAGUUUCAUCUCACUCCCAGGAGUCUGGUCCAGGCAACCCCCCUUUCCAGCCAGAAUAAUCACAAUAAUGCAUUUCUUUUUUUUGCGUGGGGGGAGGUACUGGGGAUUGAACUCAGGGACACUCAACCACUGAGCCACAUCCCAGCCCUAUUUUGAAUUUUAUUUAGAGACAGGGUCUCGCUGAGUUGCUUAGCGCCUUGCUGUUGCUGAGGCUGACUUUGAACUCGUGAUCCUCCUGCCUCAGCCUCCCUCCAGAGCUGCUGGGAUCACAGGCAUGUGCCACCAUGCUUGGCUACACAAGAGUGUAUUUUAAAUGCAGACCAGAGUCAUCAGAGGCGACCUUGUUCCCAUUCUUGAUUGGCCCUCUAACCCCCAAACUGGAAGGGCUUUGCAUCUCUACGUGAAAUAGUAUGCUCUUAUCUCCCACUAGCCUCUCCGCAGCUGUCACUCUCCACCUGCCCUGGGAUCCUGGGAAGUGGGUGGAAGGUGGCCGAUAGAAGUAAAGUGGAGAAAGGUCAGAGGAUGAUAAGUAGGUGGGUCUGAGAAAGUCAUUAACUACAUGAGUGAGUGCAAACAGAUGGAUGUCUGGGUGGUCUUAAGGUGCCAGCAGUCUCUGUCUCUCUCUGAGUCACAAUAUCUUCUCCUUUCUUCUCUCAAUCCCAUUAUUAGAUCAUUUCCUCCACCGUCUCUUCCUCUGACCUCUUCUACUGAAUUCCACCACCUCCUCUCCCCCUCCCCUUUCUUAAUAUGGUAGAAAGAUGAGUUCUUAGCCCUUCCCCUUCUAACUGACUGUUUGGAACUUUCUAUUCCAACUUCUCAUUUUCCUGCUGAGAAUCACAGAUUUUGGCAAGAAAGGCCUUUGUGGUAGCCAAAGCUGGAAACCACCCCACAGCAACCUGGGCACAUUCCCACGGCUCCCUGACACCAGGCAGAAUUUCCAGAGUUGGUGACAAGUCCCCUCUUCUCAGGAGCAGUAUAAAAUCUGCAGGUUGCCCCCAUCCCUUACCAAUGGGGCUUGAUCUGGCUGCCAGGCAGGGUAGAUAAAGUAGUGACAACCACCAGCCAGGACAGAAGGUGAGCAACCAUUUUGAAUAUUUCUUGCCCAUUUUAGAUUUCUCAGGUACUCUUUCUAAGACUAGGGUUUCAGAUCUCAGGUUCUGCUCCUCAAAGAUUAAGAUAAAUCUGGGGGACUAGGGGCUGGGGAUGUGGCUCAAGCGGUAGCGCGCUUGCCUGGCAUGCGUGCGGCCCGGGUUUGAUCCUCAGCACCACAUACAAAAAAGAUGUUGUGUCUGCCGAUAAGUAAAAAAUAAAUAUUAAAAAUCUCUCUCUCUCUCUCUCUCUCUCUCUCCCUCUCUCACUCUCUCUUUAAAAAAAAAAAAUCUGGGGGACUAGAGGGAGCCACUCUAACUCUGCCACUGAUGUACUGAUUGAUCUUCAGUCAGUUUCUUGACCUCUCUGGUUCUCAUUGCUGUGUGAUCUUGGGUAAGUUAUUUCACCUCUAAUGACUCGGUGAUCUCACUUUUAAAACGUGAGAUUAGACUUUAAAAAUAACAAUUAACUGGUGAUCUUCAAUGGUCCUUUAAAUUGUUCAGGGAAUUAAUUUAUUGUCUUGAAAACUGUCAAGCAAAGGAACUACAUCAAGCAUUAAUCUUCAUUUUCCUGUUUUGACUGCAUCCCUGGCUAGUCAGAUAGUUGUCAAGAGAAAACACCCCCUUUAAAGGUAUUCUUACAAAUAAAGAAGUGAUGGACUAUCACCACUCUGCAACACUCAGUGAAUCGACAAAUCCAGACAUUGUGCACCAAGGACUACUCACAGCACAAAAGAAGAGACAAGCAGACAUUAUGUGCUUCCCCACGAAAGAACAUAACACCACCCACAAUCUUGCCAAAAAGAUCGAACCUAGUCGGAUCAAACGUCUAGAUCUAGCAAUCAAUUCACAGGAAAUAAAGAGGACAGAGAACACGUUGAACUGCACUCAGAGUGUGCAAUCAGCAAAAUCCAAACCGUGAGAAACUUUACAGGGAACACACCCUGGGUUCUGCAAAACAUGAAGUUUAAUAAAAAUAAAAAUAAGAAGGAAAGAGGAAGGUGCAAAUAGGAACUUUUUUUUUUUUUUUGUACCAGGGGUUGAACUCAAGGGCACUCAACCACUGAGCCACAUCCCCAGCCCUACUUUGUAUUUUAUUUAGAGACAGGGUCUCACUGAGUAGCUUAUUGCCUUGCUUUUGCUGAGGCUGCCUUUGAACUCAGGAUCCUCCUGCCUUGGCCUCCCAAACUGCUGGGAUUACAGGCAAGGGCCACCACACCCAGCAUGCAAUAGGAACUUGUAGAACUUGUAGAAUAAAAGAGGGUUAUAAAAUGUGUUGACCAACUUUCCUUCCCUCUGUCCUACCUUCUUUCCUCCUUCUCCUAUUUUUGUGGUUGGGGAUGGAGCUCAGGGUUUUAUCCAUGCGGGGCAAGGGCUCUGCCACUGAGCUACCUCCCCAGGGCUUUUUAUUUUUUUCGUUUUGAGAUAGGGUCACAUUAAAUUGCUAAGGCUGGUCUUGAACAUGCAAUCUUCCUAUCUCAGUUCCCCAAUCACUGGGAUUACCAGUGUGAGCCACAACACCAGCGAUGAUCAUUUUUAAUGGGGAAGACUACAUGAGAAUUACAGUCAGAUGAUAAAGCUAAGAAGACACAAAGAAAUCAUUACUUUGAGUGAUGAGAGCGAUCAUUUGGAGGAUGGGAGGAGGAUGUGAGGGGACCUGGGUACAGAAGGGCUUCCAAGACGCUAGCUGACCUACAUUUCUUAUGCAUAAUUUUCUAUAAAUCUAGGUUUAUUAUACAAUAAGACAGCAUCUAAAUGACAGAAUAGGGAAAGCACCCUUAAUUUCCCGAAAGAUAAAACACUGGGAUUCUGAAAUUCUCAAUCGGAGAAGCUCAGGGGUUCUAAUCCUAAAAUCAAUCUUGGACAAUAAGAAAGUAGGAGCAAAAAGGCCAGGAUUGUUCUGUGAGAAGAUCCAGGCAGACCCGACAUCAAGUCUGACUCUGCCACCUGUUUGCUGAGAUGCUGAAAAAUUCAGUUACCACUCUAACUCCAUUUUCCUCACCUGCUAAGUGGAGGUAAUCAUACUCCUCCCUUGCUGUUAUGUCAAUCAAAUGCCCUUCAGAGGGCUUAGCAUAGACCCUGCGCAGAGUUAGCACUCAACACAGGAGCAUUUAUAAUCAUAAUCACCUUUGUUAUUACUAUUUAUCUGGAUUUUAGGCCACUCCUAACCAGAGAUAAACCAGAAAGCAAAUUUCUCCUUAGAAAAGGCGUUGGAGAGCACAGCCCCUCUGGGACGCUAGCGGUGAGGCUGGCUGUGGAGGAAAGUUUACCAAACUUCAGGCUGGCUCUCUCCAGAGUGACACCCAGGGGACAGGGCGCCUCCUCACUUUAUUCUUUCCCACAUCACACUCAACCUGGCCUCCACCCUAAGCUAGUUGCAUCAAAACCCAUCAACUUAGUGGCCCACCUGUUCAUGGUUCUUCUAGUCUCUGGUACCUCUGGGUACCACUUGUUAUUUCCAUCAGUCACUGGAGCCACUUUGUGAGAGGGAGGCCACCAGGAUGAGCAGAAACCCAUGGGAAGCAGCAGAGCCCACGGAUUCAUCAGUUCACUGCACUGAUGAUCUUCAGUCAGUUUCUUGACCUCUCUGUUCUCAUUGACCUCUCUGGUUUCAUCUGUAAAAUGGGGAUAAGAGAACCUACUUAUAUGGUCAUUAAAAGGAUUAAAUGACUUAAAAAUGUAAAUUGCUUUUGACAAUGCCUGGCACAUUGUGUGGGGUGGGGUGGGGGGGAUUGCAUUCUGUUUUUCAGACUUCCUAAGUAUUAGCUCCUUCCCUCACUAAUUCAGUGAUCUUGGAUAAGUUGUUUAUUUCUCUAUAUCUCUGCCUUUUUACCUAUAAAAUAAGGUUUACAAUAGUAGUCAGCUUUCUGCACAGCCAAGGAAAUGAUCAAAAGGAAAAGGAAACCUAUGGAAUGGGAGGAAAUAUACAACCAUAAGCCAUAGACUAAUUGUUCAUGCCCCCCAUAAUUCAUACCUGACAUCUUCACCCCUAGGGUGAUGCUAUUGGAAGGAGGCCUUUGGGAGGUGAUUGGAUCCCAAGAUGGAGCCCUCAUGAAUGGGAUUAGUGUCCCCCAAAAAAGGACUCCAGAGAGCUCCUCCCCAUGUCCAUCCUGUGAGGACACAGUGAGAAGAAGGCCUCUAUGAAGAGGGAGGUCAGCAGAUGUCAGAUCUGCUGUCACCCAAUCUUGAACUUCCCAGCCUUCAACUCUGUGAGAAAGAAAUUUUGGUUUUCUACAACCCAACUAGUCUAUGGCAUUCUGUAGCAUCACAGAUUAAUUAAGACCCCAUGUGUCUGAUAUAGGGGUCAUAUCCAAAAUAUGUAAGGAACUCCUACAACUCAAUAGCACAAAAGUAAAUAACCCAAUUUUAAAAUGGCAUUUCUCUUCUAAGGAAGAGAAACCUGUGACCACCAGGUAUAUGAAAAUGUGCUCAACAUCAGGAAUCACUGGGGAAAUGCAAAUCAAAACCAAACCUGCUGGGAUGCUAUUAGGAAAAAACAACAAAAGCAAAAGGUAAUUAUUAAUGAGGAUGUGGAACAAAGGGAACUUCUGCAUACCUUUAGUAGGAAUGUAAAUUAGUGCAGUUAGAAGACACUUGUUUGGAUAAGUAUUCUCCAAAGGCCUAAGGGUGAAAGCUUAGUCCACAAACCUGUGGUGUUAUUGGGAGGUGGUGGAAUCUUUAAGAGGUACGGUCUAGAGGGAGGAAGUUAGGAUAUUGGGGUGUAUCCUUGUAGGGGUAUUGGAACCUCAUUUCUCUUAAUCUCUCUCAUUCCUUCCUGGCUGCCAUAAGGUAGCAGUUUCCUCCACCAUGUACCCAUGAACUCCAACCAUGAGGUACUAUCUUGCCAUAGGCCCUAAAGCAGUAGUUCAAUUGAACACAAACUGAAACCUCCAAAACUGUGAGCUAAGGUAAUAUUUUCUUCUGUAUAACUUUAUUACCUCAGGUAUUUUGUUAUAAUAAGAAAGCUGAUUAACACAGGAGGACAUUUUACAAAUGAAAAAAAUUGCCAUGUGAUCCAACAAUCCCAAUUCUGCAUAUUUAUCCAAAAGAAUUAAAAUGAGAAUUUUGAAGAAAUAUCUGCUGUAUCAUGUUCACUGCAGCAUUAUUCUGAAUCAUGAAGUCAUGGAAGCAACCUAUGUGUCCAUCAAUGGAUGAAUAGAUAAAAAAUAUAUAUAGCAUAUAUACAUUCAACAGAUAAAUUGUGAUAUACCCAUUCACCUGUAAAUGGACUUUAGGACUUUUUCAAAUUCUGGGCUGUCACCAAUCAUACCUCAAUAAAGUGACUUUAACAAAAGAUAUUCAAAUAAAAAUAAGGGAAAUGUAUGAACGGCUAAUAAAUACAUGCCUUCACACCCAACUUCUGGGAUUCUUAUGAACUGCUAGUGGGGAUAUAAACUGAUGAAGAACUUUGGAAAAUUGGCAGUUUUAAAGAAAUGAAGUUCAUGCAAACAUUGUACCUGAAUAUUCAUAGCAGCUCAACUUGUAAUAGUCCAGAAUUUGAAAAAAAAUCCAAAGUCCUUCCACAAAUGCAGAAAUAUAUUAUGGCUCAUUCAAAAACUGGAAUAUUUCUCAAAAAUAAAAAGAAAUGAACAACUAUUAUUUGCAGAAACCUGAGUGGGUCUCUAUAACUAUGACAUAUGCUGAGCUAAAUGUGAAACUAUACUUUAUGUACAUAUAUAUAAAAUUUUAGAACAGGUAAAAUUAAUCUAAAAUUAUGACUAACAUAGAUCGGGGAGUCAGAUGUUUUAUAUUUUAGACUUUUUUUUGAUUGAAUGAAGAAGGGCACAAGAAAUUUUAUAGGGUAACAGAAACAUUCUGUAUUUUGAUUUUGAUGAGGUUUAUAAAAUAUAUACAUUUGUCAAAAUUCAUCAAAUGGCAUUUCCUGUAAAUUAUGCCUCAAUAAAUUUGAUUUAAAGAAAAAAAAUAGUACCC